GGUUUGGCUCUCGACAAAGCAUUUGCCGAGAGCCCGAUGAAUGACUCUCGGCAAAGACCUCUUUGCCGACAAAAGAUUUGCCGAUAGGCCUUUGCCGAGAGCAAGACUGCCUUUGCUGAGCGUCUGAGGCUAUGUAGUAGUGAAUAGGGGAACGACGAACAUAAGAUAUGUUGGAAAUAAAAGUAAUUUAGCAAUAUAUAAAUUAAUUCUAAAAAUAAGAAAAAAAAACAACACCGUGUAUCACAAAUAUAUGAACCAAGACUAGCACUACGAUCUGAGACAAAGUCACGGCAUCUAGUGCUAGCAACAAAAAGAAUGUAAGAAUGAACAACAAGGAGAAGGUAGACAUCCUUACAAUGGGGUUGUCGGUGCGAGAAAAGAAGAAGGAGAUCGUCGAUGGAGAUCGGCGAACACUAGGCGCAGAGGGAAGACGUCCUGCGAGCAAUCACGACGGCGCUUUCCAAAAACCUGAUACGCCCCUACCCCCAUGCAGGGACGCGAGAAGACGUAGGCUUCGGAGCCUGCUCUUCCGACACCGAUGGCACGUCAGCGACGGGAUGGGAAAGAUGACGGCAGCGCAGCAAUGUGGCAAGAAAGAGAUGAAUCUCUCGGUACUAAGGACGAAGUCUCGUUCAAUAUUUAUACACGCGUCGCACACAGCUAAGGAUAUAUACAUGCAU
rnacentral:lncRNA from 1 species